AUCUGGGUGAUGAAGAAAAUCGUUCGGAUUCCCACUGAUUUUUCAUGAUUAUUACAACCAGCUACUUCUGACGGAU
rfam:Triticum aestivum genome assembly, contig: Triticum_aestivum_CS42_TGACv1_scaffold_436619_5DL